AUGAGCUCCCAGAUGUGUCAGAAUCAUUCCACCCAGGCGGAGGCAACCACUAACUGCCUGGUCAACUGGCAUCUCUCUGGGCUUCUACUUCAGCCGUGACGAUGUGGCUCUGGAAGGUGAACUGGCCAAGCGUCUCUGGAAGAUGCAAAGCCAGCAUGGCAGCCCGCUCUUCUGCAGGACCUGCAGAUGAGAUGAGUGGGAUAAAACCCUGGAUGCCGCGGGGGCAGCCUUGGCCCUGGAGAGGAGCCUGAACCAGCCUAUUCUGGGUCUUCACGCCCUGGGUUCUGCUGGCACAGACCUCAUCUCUGGGACUUCCUAGAGAGGCCUUUCCUAGAUGUGGGAGUGAAACUCGUCAAGAGAGUGGAUGAUCGCCUGACCUCUGCGGGCUGGCCGCCCGGAGCUGGGUCAAGCAACUGUCUUUUCCAAAGUCUUGCCACCCUCAAGCACGA
rnacentral:lncRNA from 1 species